rnacentral:rRNA from 1 species
CUGUCCUACGGGACGCAGCAGUGAGGAAUAUUGGUCAAUGGGCGCGAGCCUGAACCAGCCAAGUAGCGUGAAGGAUGACUGCCCUACGGGUUGUAAACUUCUUUUAUAAAGGAAUAAAGUGAGGCACGUGUGCCUCUUUGUAUGUAUUUUACGAAUAAGGAUCGGCUAACUCCGUGCCAGCAGCCGCGGUAAUACGGAGGAUCCGAGCGUUAUCCGGAUUUAUUGGGUUUAAAGGGAGCGUAGAUGGGUUGUUAAGUCAGUUGUGUAAGUUUGCGGCUCAACGGUCAAAUUGCAAUUGAUACUGG